CCGAGAUUCAACAUGGAACGAGUGGCGGACGGGUGAGUAACACGUGGGUAACCUGCCCUUAAGUGGGGGAUAACAUUUGGAAACAGAUGCUAAUACCGCAUAGAUCCAAGAACCGCAUGGUUCUUGGCUGAAAGAUGGCGUAAGCUAUCGCUUUUGGAUGGACCCGCGGCGUAUUAGCUAGUUGGUGAGGUAAUGGCUCACCAAGGCGAUGAUACGUAGCCGAACUGAGAGGUUGAUCGGCCACAUUGGGACUGAGACACGGCCCAAACUCCUACGGGAGGCAGCAGUAGGGAAUCUUCCACAAUGGACGCAAGUCUGAUGGAGCAACGCCGCGUGAGUGAAGAAGGCUUUCGGGUCGUAAAACUCUGUUGUUGGAGAAGAAUGGUCGGCAGAGUAACUGUUGCCGGCGUGACGGUAUCCAACCAGAAAGCCACGGCUAACUACGUGCCAGCAGCCGCGGUAAUACGUAGGUGGCAAGCGUUAUCCGGAUUUAUUGGGCGUAAAGCGAGCGCAGGCGGU
rnacentral:rRNA from 1 species